UGCCAAGAAGAUAUAGAGACGUAGAGAGAUAGUAUUCCAUCCACGGUGCUAUAUGCACAGAGGACAGACAUGGAAUCCCAACGAAACGUGAAUAACAGCACGAUCACCUUACAAUCACCCAAUACGUGUGAUGUUUAUAUCUACACUCGCCCCAUAGAUACGCCUUCAUCACAGUCCUGGUUUGAGUCGUCCACUUCUUCGUCGUCUUCGUGCUGUUUGGCCUUCGACCGCAUUUCGCAUUGGGCUUGUUACUUCGUCUAUCGCGAUAAGACCGCCGUGCGAUACGAAGGCUUCAAGGACCCUGAGACCAGCGAACUGACUGGAGCUAUCACAGUAUUACCUCACGACAGUCUGGAGCAACGCAAGGGCAAUUGGUAUCCGGUACAAAGUAAUGCUGAUAUCGCAAAGGAACGUAUAUGGAUGGUGAUGGAGAAGAUGAACAGCGAUUACGCCAGCCAGUAUGAUGUCCCUAAGAACAACUGCCAGAAAUGGGUGAUGCUGAUGCUCGAAGAGAUUGGUGUGUCAAUGAAGCCCUCGAUAACGAUCCGACGUGUUGCCCCAACGUUCCUUGGCGACGAAGCUCCAUGCUCAACUGCACUGAAUACCUUCACAGAUGCCGCUUGAUCACGAAGCCCCAGCAGAUGUUCAGAAAGGCUCGAGUUAAACAGCUAUUAUUAGUCUAAUUCACGGUGGCAAAAACGGUCGUUUGAAGUUAACUGGAUGGUAAUAAAGAUGUCCAACCAUAGA